CCCUUAGAUGUCCUGGGCUGCACGCGCGCUACACUGAUGCAUUCAACGAGUUUUACCUUGGCCGAGAGGCCUGGGCAAUCUUUUAAACCUGCAUCGUGAUAGGGAUAGAUUAUUGCAAUUAUUAAUCUUGAACGAGGAAUUCCUAGUAAACGCAAAUCAUCAAUUUGCAUUGAUUACGUCCCUGCCCUUUGUACACACCGCCCGUCGCACCUACCGAUUGAAUGGUCCGGUGAAGCCUCGGGAUUGUGGCCAGUUCACUUUAUUGGGAGUUGGCUGUGAGAACUUGUCUAAACCUUAUCAUUUAGAGGAAGGUGAAGUCGUAACA
rnacentral:rRNA from 1 species